CCCUAGCCCAGAUACAAGCGGUAUCCUUUUUUGUUUUUUCUUUAAAAAUAAAAAGAUACAAGCGGAUAGCUGGAAAUAGC
rnacentral:sRNA from 1 species